AACGAACGCUGGCGGCAGGCCUAACACAUGCAAGUCGAGCGAGGACUUCGGUCCUAGCGGCGGACGGGUUAGUAACGCGUGGGAACGUGCCCUUUGCUUCGGAAUAGCCCUGGGACACUGGGAGUAAUACCGGAUGAGCCCUUUGGGGGAAAGAUUUAUCGGCGAAGGAUCGGCCCGCGUUGGAUUAGGUAGUUGGUGGGGUAAUGGCCUACCAAGCCGACGAUCCAUAGCUGGUUUGAGAGGAUGAUCAGCCACACUGGGACUGAGACACGGCCCAGACUCCUACGGGAGGCAGCAGUGGGGAAUCUUAGACAAUGGGGGAAACCCUGAUCUAGCCAUGCCGCGUGAGCGAUGAAGGCCUUAGGGUUGUAAAGCUCUUUCAGCUGGGAAGAUAAUGACGGUACCAGCAGAAGAAGCCCCGGCUAACUCCGUG
rnacentral:rRNA from 1 species